GCCGCCGAAGGCAGGUCUGAUAACUGGGGUGAAGUCGUAACAAGGUAGCCGUAUCGGAAGGUGCGGCUGGAUCACCUCCUUUCUAAGGAA
rnacentral:rRNA from 1 species